CAUGAAACAGGGAAAAUAGAAAAAUCUCACAAUCAGGUGUUGUUAACAGACGUGUUUUGGAAACUGUUGGGUUCUCUAGUGGUUUGUAUGCACCAGUUUUGGCGCACACUUCUCAGGGAAAACAGUUAGCAGUUUUUAGAGAUAGCAGCGGUCACUCAUGACUUGCCUUGGUCAUUCAUGUGUAUUGUUUAGAGUGAACGCGUCUGGUGAUGCCUGAAAAAUUUAUUGACGCACACGUCGACGUAAUACACGAAUGACUAGAAAUGGGUAGUGCUCAGAGAAGAGGGGAGACUAGUUGGAACCAUGUCGUCCCGAUCCUUCCGACCCUGUGUGAGUUUAUGUCAGAACAUUGUCCGGGCAGUUUAGAUCAAAUGAACAGUUGGAGGUGCAACUGAGGGAGAUGGAGAUGAGCGCGACGGCUCAGCACGCAGUCUGAUCAACAACAAAAAAAGAAAAAAAAGGGAGAGACAGAGAUUGAAAGCAUUUAAUUCGCUAAAUUCCAAAAAGCCUACGAAGAAUGUGAACAAGUGUCAUUGCAUUCACCCAAAUACUGUGUAUCCUUGUCUUUCUGAGGUACUGAGAGAAUCGGUGGCUCCAGACCUGGAUUCCGCCCCCCCCCUUUUGCUCCGCCAGCCUGCUUGCAGCAGCCUUCUCAGUCAAAUGCAGCUUCAUCGGACACAGACUCUGGAACAAUGCAAAGACCAUCUGAAAGAGCGUUUCGUGAGCGGGACGAGACCAAACUCCGGCAGAUGGUGAGAAAAUCAUAUGUUCCACUAACAGAUGUCCUAAAGCACGCUGAACAUGCUAAGGCGGAGUUGCACAGAAAAGAGAUGCUUGCAACGAUCAACACACUUGCAAGACAAAUACGGAAUAUUCCUCCAUGGCAACUUGGGAGGACAAGAGGUCGAGGCAGAGGCAGAAUGGAUCUGACCUUGGAAAGAUAUGAUUCAAGUGUGUGCUACAACUGCGGAGGGCAUGGACACUGGCGAACAGGAAAAAGGAAGACCCGCUUUCGACACGGCUGAGCGGAGGGAGGCGGGGGAGGGGCGCAUCCCAGAGACGGACAACCCUCUCCAGGACAAACAAGUAAGGCACACUACACAAAAGAAAAACAAAAGAAGCAAACUUUAACAUUGAUUUUCUAACCAUCUUUAAAGAUGUUUUGACUCAGGAGUAAAAAUCUCAUUUGUAAAAUUGAAAUUCCCAUUAUUUUAGGCGAUAAGAAAUAGCUCAAAACCACUCUGUAGCGAAAAGAGUGAAAAACUAAUAUUAGACCAUGGAGCUUCAGUUGCUCAUGAUUUUUUCACAUUGCAUACAGUACUGCAGCAGAAGGUUACAUGCCAUUAUUACGUUGUCAUGUAAGCAUAGGAAGUAAACAGAAGGUUUGAGAGAAUGUAGAUUUGAAAUAGAAUUAUUGGUGAGAGAGAGCUGCUGUUGGGUCUGUCUGUGUGUCUCCCUCCGUCUCAGGAAAUGUUCCUUGGAGCUGCCCUGCAUAUAUCACUGACAGACUAUCGCACUGGGAAGGGCGAGGAUCUGGGUCCAUGUUUUGCAAUGCGUCUCGGCCUUUCAAAAGAAACAACGACCGGGUGCUGAGAAACCUAGGGACUAGCGCUAUUGCACUUCACACACAGGUGAAAUCUACACUUCCCUCACCAGCCACUGCGGUCCAGCAUCACCUGAAACCAGGAGACUGGGUGCUCAUCAAGGAUCACAGGAGGAAGCACGGGAAGCAGACACACUACACGGGUCCCUUCCAAGUACCCCGACAACGGAGACGGUGGUGAGAGUGGAAGGAGAACAACGUAGGUCUACGCCAGCCACUGCAAACACAUCUCAGAUCCAGAAGGAGAAGGAGCAGCUGCUACAGGUCCGGACUAGAGGGGAAGGGUGAGAAAAGCGAGCGCCUUCCUCCAUCAAGUAGCAUGCCAAGCUACCAACAAGCGCACCCUUAGCAGUGAAGUAACCGAACACCUCACUUAUUUUGUGUGGCUGGGGAGAAACCCGAGUUUCUCAAAACGCAAAGCUGUCAUACAGAAAUCAGUGUGGUAGGAGGUGAACUCAUGUGAAAAGGUGACGCCACCCAAGAAACAGUGAUGGAAGAAAGAUCUCCAGCAUCAGGACACUCCUUUGAGGAGCACGGGUGCAGCCAGAGCAAAAGCAUGCACUCACUGCUCUAUCUGACCACGACAGCAAGGAUACUGUUCCUGAACUUUGAAUUUCAAUUACAAGACAUAAACGGCAAAGAUACCAGCCCGUUUCAUCUCACGAAGAAGUGGCAGGAAUUGCCCAACAGGACGAUGUGUUCCCUCUCCUCAAUAGAUUGAUUGAUAUGUGAAUAUGGACAAACAACUUCGUCAAAUAGUAUGUGAGUGGUGUUAAGUGGCCUACCAGCAGGUCAGUGAAGCACAGCCAAAACCAGCACCUAUUGGAAACAUGUACUUUUAAGCCCAACACAGUAUCUAUUCGAUUAGAAAAUAGGUAUACAGAGCAUACCUUGAGUAAAUAAAUUCAAAGUCAAGCAUUCAUCUUGGACUAAAAGCAUAAUUGUACUAAAUCCUUAACUAAGACCAGACCUAGAGGUGAAGAUUCACCAAACCCAAACCGUCCAUUCUGAUCUAUUCUUUGACUAAUGUCAGCUGUCGUGUUAAUUUCUACGUGUUAGGAUAACUAAUUUGAGAAUAGUGUGUAACUAAACAAGAUCAGUACAUAGUGGGUAUUAGUAGACAAAAACCAUACUUUGCACUCAGAGGUUAAUGAUGUAAUGUCUUGAAAUCUUUGGGAAUCUACCUCACUGAUGUAUGUCCUACAAAUGGUUAUAUACUAACUUUUGACUAUCAUUUUUCAGUUGUUAAAAUUGUCAAAAAUGACAAAAAGAGUGAGAUGUUGGGGAAAAAUGUGUUUUAGAAGUUCUCUCUCUCCUGGAAUGUGUUAAACAGUUGUCCCUCCUGAAUGUCUAUGGAGGAUAAUCUAAUCCUGUGUGGGGUCAUGUGGAAAGGUCACAACCCAGGCUCUCAUGGGAAAAGGUCACAACCAAGGGGUCUUGAACUGAGCUUGAACCUAGCAGAAUAAACAAGCCUUCGGGGUGUCUCAACUUCCUCUAAUAGGUAACAGAUGGACUUUGGAAUGUGGAUUCUCUCUGAGAUCUAUAAAGGUUGCAGUCUUGCACUGAGACAGCAGCAGUUAUCUCUGACGGCUUCGAGAGAAGGCUCGGGGAUUCUGCUCCAUUCAGCUGAAUGUUUUCAUGACUUGUUUGUUAUUUAGCGUUUGGUUGAUGACUUGUAAACUUGUUACUAUAAUAAAGUGUUAUGGGUCAACCAUG